UACGUAGGGUGCAAGCGUUGUCCGGAAUUAUUGGGCGUAAAGAGCUCGUAGGCGGUCUGUCGCGUCGGAUGUGAAAAUCAGGGCUCAACCCUGGACCUGCAUUCGAUACGGGCAGACUAGAAUUCGGUAGGGGAGUCUGGAAUUCCUGGUGUAGCGGUGAAAUGCGCAGAUAUCAGGAGGAACACCGGUGGCGAAGGCGGGACUCUGGGCCGAUAUUGACGCUGAGGAGCGAAAGCGUGGGGAGCGAACAGG
rnacentral:rRNA from 1 species